rnacentral:ncRNA from 1 species
UAAUAAACGCUGAUGGAAACGAGUAGGUCACAGUCCAUUUCCAGAGAGAAUGCCCCAAGGCUGAAAGGGUGUUUAAUGAAGGGUGACGGAACGCUAUUCCUGAGUGCAGGUAAAAGUCCUGCCGUCCUGAGACCGCGUUAAGGUCCAAUGAAGCUGAUGGAUAUUUUGGAAUCCAUAAUCAGGGUGGUACCGCGAGCAACUCUCGUCCCUGUG